UAUAUCUCUCCAAGAAUUCCUCAUUCUCUGUGGACCUCUACACUGAGUAAGUGUGAAAAAAUUAUUUUGGCAGAACUUCUAUUGUGACAGCACAAAACUGACAUGAUACAUGGCUAUAUUGUCAUAGCAACAUUCUAAAUUGACUACUAAGCUGGUAGGAGAAGACAAGUUGGGUUGCACAAUACAUUAUUAAAAGGACUACCCACACCAUCCAUAUUAUUAAUGUUAGCCUUGACAAGAAUAGUGAGAUAACUUUUUGUGAAUUUAAUUUGGUAUACCAGCUGACUCAAUGUGGCAUGCCAAUUGUACUAGAUGCAGUUAAGAAAUCAUUGUAGCACAGAACAGAAAUAUUGUUUGCAAAAUGAGUGAGGUUCAUAUUGAAGUUCAAGCCUGAAAGAAAAAACAACAUUAUAUCACUGAUCCAGCUGGAGCUUUCAAAUAAGAAUACUUACAAAGCUGCUGCAAUAUGAGGAACUGAAGUCUCUACACAGGUAAUGCAACUUUAACAUUACUCAACCAAUUACUUCUGUGACCAACUAACACCACCAAAACAAAACAAAACAAAACAAACAAAAAACCUGC